UACGUAGGGUGCGAGCGUUAAUCGGAAUUACUGGGCGUAAAGCGUACGCAGGCGGCUUUGUAAGACAGGUGUGAAAUCCCCGGGCUUAACCUGGGAACUGCAUUUGUGACUGCAAAGCUAGAGUUUGUCAGAGGGGGGUGGAAUUCCACGUGUAGCAGUGAAAUGCGUAGAGAUGUGGAGGAACACCGAUGGCGAAGGCAGCCCCCUGGGAUAUGACUGACGCUCAUGUACGAAAGCGUGGGGAGCAAACAGG
rnacentral:rRNA from 1 species